rnacentral:tRNA from 1 species
AAGUGAUCUUGGGAGAGUGCUAAUUUUUCCAAGCCGUAGUUAGACUCUAUGGGUCCCUUG